UGUGACCAUACCAAACUGUUGCCUCGGCGGGGUCACGCCCCGGGUGCGUCGCAGCCCCGGAACCAGGCGCCCGCCGGAGGGACCAACCAAACUCUUUCUGUAGUCCCCUCGCGGACGUUAUUUCUUACAGCUCUGAGCAAAAAUUCAAAAUGAAUCAAAACUUUCAACAACGGAUCUCUUGGUUCUGGCAUCGAUGAAGAACGCAGCGAAAUGCGAUAAGUAAUGUGAAUUGCAGAAUUCAGUGAAUCAUCGAAUCUUUGAACGCACAUUGCGCCCGCCAGUAUUCUGGCGGGCAUGCCUGUCCGAGCGUCAUUUCAACCCUCGAACCCCUCCGGGGGGUCGGCGUUGGGGAUCGGGAACCCCUAAGACGGGAUCCCGGCCCCGAAAUACAGUGGCGGUCUCGCCGCAGCCUCUCAUGCGCAGUAGUUUGCACAACUCGCACCGGGAGCGCGGCGCGUCCACGUCCGUAAAACACCCAACUUCUGAAAUGUUGACCUCGGAUCAGGUAGGAAUACCCGCUGAACUUAAGCAUA
rnacentral:rRNA from 1 species